rnacentral:lncRNA from 1 species
CUUCUGCGCAGAAAAAAACUUGGCAAUCUCACUAACCCAUUCCCAAGUGGGGCCGGCAUGCUGAAGGGCAGGGCAAUUUGAAAUCGUGCGUACUCGCAUUGAUUUCCCUUCUUGAGCGGCAAUGGGGAGUGUGGUAGCGGUCCAGUAUCUACCUGUGGCCCGGACUUUUUAAGCAAUAGCCUUUCUCCCGUUCACAAGCAGGGUCGGCUCGUCGUAAUCGGCUUCCAAACACAAAUUUAUUUUUUCCGGAUCGUAUAAAUAGUGUUAGUUGAUAUCAAUCGAUUUGCCUCAAAAAAUUCAUCGCGAUCCCGAAAAAGUACUUGAAAGAAUAUAAUGAAAGUAAAAAUGGUUCUACUGAAACAAGUGUUUAUCACUCUUUAACUGUUGAAGUUUCAUUUGCAAUCGUCUCAGAUAAUUUCAAUAUUAAUAUUUGCGGUAAUAGCAAUGUAAAAGAUAAUGGUAAUAUUUGAUGUUGCACAUGUGAAAAGUGUGUCACGUUCACAGCUUUAAUUUUGUAUUCACAGGUAGUAGUAAUAUAAAAGCACUUUACUCAUUUAUGUUAUUAAUGUGGUAAGAAAUACUAUUAAUAAUUGUGAUUGCCCGAAAUUGACCCGCGAUUUAUUGUAUAAUAUAAUAAACUGGUUAUUGGGAGCUUGAAAUAUUCGAUUUUGUGCUGAAUGUUUAACAAGUCGGAAACGGGAAGCUCGGUGCGUCAGAUAUGAAUGAGUUUGUUGAUAUUUUAAGUAAUAAUGUUUGGGUACACGAUGCUUUCAUUUCUACAUAACUAGUAGUGGAUAUCCGUUGACAUCUCCUAAUGGGUACCAAUUUGACCCAAAAGAAGCAACUUUAACACCCGGCAGGUUUCUUAAUAAUAACGCGAAAACACAGAUUUAAUUUGAUAUUCACAGCUAGCAGCCAUAUUGUUGCGAGAAGAUUGGCGGACAUAACUAACUUCACUAAUUUGAUAAGCGCUCGACAGCGAUGGGCAAGAAGUGGUUGAAUAAGAUCAACGCUAGUUUCUUAUGUGUUUAACAUUAGUGGAUUAACAAAAUUCAUGAUACUACUUCUAGCUUGGAAAAACAAAUAACUAUAAAAAGACUCUUCUCAUUAUUUAUUUAUUUUCUAGAGGUUUCACAAUCUGGGCAAGUUACGGAUUUCAUAUAAUACUGCCACUAAGUGCCAAGCAUUUAGGCUCUGACCAUCCCACCUACUUCAAAGAUAAAGGAGCGCUGGUGGUGGUGGCCGGUGGUAGGUAAAUGGAAGAAUCCGUAGAGAACUCCCCGCAAUCUCGAGCAUGAAUGUGGAAUGGUAUCUUUUUGCAUAGUUCCAGGACAUCAGAGGAAGCCAUGAGGGAUUUUGGUACAAUACAUGUAUUAUGGCAUCUACAACCAACCGCUCGAGAUGCCAAAUUUCUUUGAUUUCCAAACAAGUGCCUCAUAGUUCACCGUAUUCUCCACGUACUUACGUUCAAUGUUGCUGUUUUGGGGUAUAGCAAUAUCAAUAAUGUGCGCAGAACGACCCGUCUCUGAACUAACAGGACAUUGGGUUUGUUUUACAAUACAUACUGUAAACAGGACGAUUAGGUAGUGCCUGGGGCUCAUAUCAGUAAAACGGACAUGUUCCCGUGAUCAUUCCAUGUUUGUAUGCAAAGCUUUGGUUAAUCACUUUACAUGCAGCAUUGUGUAUUGCACCGCCGCCAUUAUAGUGCAACCAGAAAUAAGAUGGUCCAACGUCUCCAGUGCCGAACCAUAUAUUCUGCAUUGGUCGUUCGCCACCCGCUUUUCAUAAACUCGGGUGGCGACCACGCCGACCCGAAUAGCACACAUAAAUCCCUUCGUCUCAGCAAAGAGCUCUCCAGCACACAGCCAUCUGUUCGACAAAUAUAAAUUGAUAAAUGGUUGCGAAAGACCAUUGACGUGUUUAUCAUGCGUUGCCAUCGAAAUCAUUCAUCGAUCCGUUUUUGGUGUGAGUUCACCCCACUUAGGGAAUGGAAAGAUCGCUCCUUCAAGUAAGUCGAACAAAUAAAUGAAAAAUAUCAUUGUAACAAAAAAUUUAAAUGAUAAAGACCAAAAUAUUAUAUUACCACGACAUAAUUUGAUUAAAUACGCAAAUUCUCAAAUAAAUAUAAAUAACCUUACGUUUAAGAACCAAAUGUACUACAUUGAAAAUAACGUCAUACUACCCAAUGUAAUUAGGAAUAUUAGCUGUGGGGAAUAUAGUAAUUUGACUUUGUAAUAUGUUCAUCAUAAACAUUUGGAAAACCUAGAA